UUCAGAGGUCUCAAGCGUUGUUCGGAUUCAUUGGGCGUAAAGGGUGCGUAGGCGGCGUGGUAAGUCGGAUGUGAAAUCUCGGAGCUUAACUCCGAAACUGCAUUCGAUACUGCCGUGCUUGAGGACUGGAGAGGAGACUGGAAUUUACGGUGUAGCGGUGAAAUGCGUAGAUAUCGUAAGGAAGACCAGUGGCGAAGGCGGGUCUCUGGACAGUUCCUGACGCUGAGGCACGAAGGCCAGGGGAGCAAACGGG
rnacentral:rRNA from 1 species